rnacentral:rRNA from 1 species
AUGAACGCUAGCUACAGGCUUAACACAUGCAAGUCGAGGGGCAGCAUGAAGUUGCUUGCAAACUUGAUGGCGACCGGCGCACGGGUGAGUAACGCGUAUCCAACCUGGCCCGCAGUAGGGAACAGCCCGGCGAAAGUCGGAUUAAUGCCCUAUGUCUUCCUUUGCAGGCAUCCAAUGAGGAAGAAAGAUUUAUCGCGUGCGGGAUGGGGAUGCGUCUGAUUAGCUUGUCGGCGGGGUAACGGCCCACCGAGGCGACGAUCAGUAGGGGUUCUGAGAGGAAGGUCCCCCACACUGGUACUGAGACACGGACCAGACUCCUACGGGAGGCAGCAGUGAGGAAUAUUGGUCAAUGGGCGAGAGCCUGAACCAGCCAAGUAGCGUGCAGGGAACCGACUGCCCUAUGGGUUGUAAACUGCUUUUAUGCGGGGAUAAACUUCAGCGCGUGUGCUGUUUUGCAGGUACCGCAUGAAUAAGGACCGGCUAAUUCCGUGCCAGCCGCUGC